AUUGAACGCUGGCGGCAGGCCUAACACAUGCAAGUCGAACGAGUGGCGGCCGGGUGAGUAAUGUCUGGGAAACUGCCCGAUGGAGGGGGAUAACUACUGGAAACGGUAGCUAAUACCGCAUACCAUCGGAGGUGCCCAGAUGGGAAUAGCUAGAAGGUGGGGUAACGGCUCACCUAGGCGACGAUCCCUAGCUGGUCUGAGAGGACGACCAGCCAACCUGUAACUGAGCCAUGUUCCAGACCCCUACGGGAGUCAGCAGGGGGGAAUAGUGCACAAGGGGCGCAAGCCUGAUGCCGCCAUGCCGCGUGUAUGAAGAAGGCCUUCGGGUUGUAAAGUACUUUCAGCGAGGAGGCGUUACUCGCAGAAGAAGCACCUGCUAACGCCGGGCCAGCCGCCGCGGUAAUAC
rnacentral:rRNA from 1 species